rfam:Cavia porcellus supercont2_12 genomic scaffold, whole genome shotgun sequence.
GGGGAUUUAGCUCAACGGCAUAAGCACCUGCCUUGCAAGCAGGCAGUCGUGAGUUCGAUCCCCGGUACCCCCC